GUCCACGCCGUAAACGAUGGAUGCUAGUCGUCGCGGGUAUUGACCCCUGCGGCAACGAAGUUAACGCAUUAAGCAUCCCGCCUGGGGAGUACGGCCGCAAGGCUAAAACUCAAAGGAAUUGACGGGGGCCCGCACAAGCGGUGGAGCAUGUGGUUCAAUUCGACGCAACGCGCAGAACCUUACCUGGGUUAAAUCCACUCGAACCUUCUAGAGAUAGAGGAGUGCCCGCAAGGGAGCGAGUGAGAAGGUGCUGCAUGGCUGUCGU
rnacentral:rRNA from 1 species